rnacentral:tRNA from 1 species
GCCUGGAUGGCUCAGUCGGUUGAGCGUCUGACUUCGGCUCAGGUCAUGAUCUCACAGUCUGUGAGUUCGAGCCCUGCUUCGGAUU